CCGGCAGCCGGAGGCAGCGGAGGAAGCCGAGGCGCGGCCAUCUUGAGUCUGUAAGGCUCCUGAGGUGCCGGGAGCGGCGGUGGCAGCCGGCAGGGCGAGGCCGGGCGGAAAGCGAGCCGGAGAAGGGAAAGCAGCCGGGCGUGGGCGCCUCCUCCGCGGCUCCCUCCAUGGUCGGCGCCUGCAGGCCGCGGCGGCCUGUCUUGCGCUCCAUCUCCGCUCCAUCCUCCUGCGCUGCUGCCUCUUCAGGGGCUGCCGGCCGCGCCGUGUCGAGCCCCCGGGGCUGAGCUCCGCGGCGCUGCGGCUGCGAGCGGCGAGGAGGCGCGGGGCCCGCGAGGCCCGUGAGGUGCCCUGAGGCUUGCGGCGGCGGCCAGCCGGCCCGCUUCCAGUGCGGCCGCCGGCGCUGGGGGAGAAUGAGCCCCGGGGCCCGCGGGCGCACGGCCCGGGCCAGGCCGGAGAUCUAGACUCCGGCCAGGGAGGGCAGGGCCCGGAGGCUCGCGGCCGCUGCUCGCCGGCCGCCCAAAGCUGGGCGGUUUUGUUUUCGCCUUGGCGUUGUGCGGAAUCAAAGCGCAAUAAGAUGUCCACUAGGACCCCUUUGCCAACGGUGAAUGAACGAGACACUGAAAACGUGAGUGGACUGCGCUGCAGGGUGGCAGACCCUCAGGGUGGUAGCAGGGGGAUCCAGCCCAGAUGCUCCAGGCAGGGGUCAAGGCGCAGCCCUGUCCUGCGGCGCGCGUGCGGCCUGCGCGCUGUCCUUACGGUCGGCUGAGCAUUACCCGUCCGUGCGCUGCUGCGGCCAGUGCGCGGUUGAACACAACUCUCCUCUUAACGUCGGGCAGGGUCUGAGCCUGCCAGUCAGACCUAGGUGCAGAUUAAUAGGAUCCAAUCGGGUCGAGCGGAGCGCCCUUUAAAAGGGGACUAAGUUUAAUGACAACUGCCAAAACUAAGUGCCCCGUGGAGAGAUCCUUGUGGGCCCCCGUAGUUCCCGCACUCACAAGAGUAGUUCUCUGCUCCAGAGCCGCUGCCUUUAUCAAGGAGUAGCUUCCCGUCCUUGGCAAAGCUAAAUCUGUUCGGAAGCAGCGGGCUGAGUGUUUUGAGAAGCAGAUGUGAAGCUCUGCUCUGUUCUGCUGCCCGGCCGAGGGACACCCACUGGGUUGCCUUUUCCUUCCGCUGCAAAAGGUUGGCUUGGAGUAGCUCUCAGGCCCGGUCCAGUGUGCACACCCAGCAAAUCUAUGUAAAAGGAUUUUGUUGGAAAGGACCUGCAGAACCAAACCAAACCACAGCCUGGAGCAGCAUUGCUAGGGAGUGACAAACGUGUAGUAGAAGUUCUACUGAAGAAAUGUUUGACCUGCCCAAGUGUUUUUUGAACUCUUCUUCCGCAUCGGAUUCCAAAGUGUUCCAGCCUAGCUUUGUCCUCUGUAAAGCAUUUAGUAAAUAACUUGUAAAGAAACUUCACUGGCCUUUCAUUAUGCGGAGCUAUGAGGUAACUGCUGGCAAGAAAAUGCAGUCUCUUUGGAAAAGCUUUCAUGCUUCGGGUGUUUUCAUGCUUUGAAAACCAUCCUUAGACAUGGUGACCUAGUGGUAUCAAAUGCCUUCAUUUUAAUCUUCAAAAUGACACUUGUGCUUGAUAGCUAUUAGGUAAUUUAAUCUAUUUGGUCUAAGUCAUCUCUGUGGUGUGUUACUAUACAGUUGUAUAUGUUCUUCCCCCUGAGAUAGAUAGAAGAUUUCCUAACUGGGAGAGCUUAGACUAGACCUUUUCCCUCCUCUUCCUUCCUCACCCUUCUCCCCUUCUUUCUCUUUUUUUUCUCUUCCUCACUUCUUUGUUCCACAGUUCUUGCUGUGUUGCUUGGGCUGUCUAAGGGAGCCUCUGCCUCAGUUUCCCCACAGCAGAGGAUACAGACACAUCCACCUGAGACCUUUCCUCUUUAUGUUCUUUUGAAGAAACUUAUCUUUGACCUGAUUGAUCAUCAUAUUCUUUGGCUACCCUAAAAAAUGAAGCAAGUAAAUCAGUUGAUUGGCUUUGAUCAUUGAAAUCAAAACUUUAGGUAGAACUAGAACUUAUGCUUUCUAAAUUGAAGAAACAGGUUUAUGAUAAUGAAAGACACCAUUUUAGUCUUCUUUAAAUUUCUAUACUAUCAUCUGUCUGUCUAUCUAAUCUGCCAUGUCUGUCUGUCUGUCUGUCUGUCUAUCUAUCUAUCUAUCUAUCUAUCUAUCUAUCUAUCUAUCUAUCUAUCUAUCUAAUCUGCCAUGUCACUGUGUAGCUCUGGCUAUCCUGGAAUUCUCUAUGUAGACUAGUGACCUGCCUGCCUCUGCCUCUGAAGUGCUGGGGUUUAAAGGCAUGCUCCACCCUGCCUGGCUUUAACAGUAUAUUUCAUGGGGGUGGGAGGACUCAAGGAGAAGUAGUCUAUUUUUAGUCUGGAAUGCAUGGUUUUAGGUAGUUAUUUGUGAUUAUUUUAGACUGAAGUGGCUCAUUCUUCCCAUGUUCUUUGUCAAUUUGUUAAGUUGUUUUGUGAUUUUGUAUGUGGUAGAAUUGCUACCUUUGUUUUUAAAAACAACCUAAGGGCUAGAAAUGUGCCUCAGUGAUAGAGAGAAAACUUUAGGAUGUGAAGGAUGCCUUAUUCUUUUUCUUUUUCCUUUUCUCUUCUUUUCUCUUCCUUCCUUCCUUUCCUUUCUUCUUUCUUUUUUUGGUUUUUCCAGGACAGCCAGGGCUAUGCAGAGAAACACUGUUUGGGGGGGUGGGGGUGGGGGACCUUCAUUUUAUCAGUAAGGCACGGAGAAAAGAAUGUUAGCAUGUCUCCCAGGAGACAGAGCAAAUGAGGAAUGCCUGGGUCAAGGUUGAUUCCUUAUCCCCAGUCCUGUGGUUUGUCUACUAAAGUAGGACUUUUGUCCACUCAUAAUCCAUUUUUACCAGAAAAAGUUCUAUGUGACCUCAGGUGUAUAGGUGUAUAUAGGGCCAAACAUCACUUAUAAAUCAUAAAAGUUAUUUAUUUUAAAGUAAUUAUUUAAUAUACAGGUGAUGUUACUAUUUUAUUAAAGGGGGAUUUUUUUAUGCUAAUGAGAGACUUAUUCUUGUUUUUACAUAGAUCUUUUUGUUGUUGGUUUUUUGUUUUGCUUUGUUUUAUUGAGAUAUGGACUCAUUCUAUAUUUCUACAUGGCCUGAAACUUGCCAUAUAGAUCCAGUCUGGCCUUGAAUUUCUAGAAAUUUGUCUCUACUUCCUAAGUUUUGGGAUUAAAGACCUGCAUCACCGCCCCGGAUGAGAGUGAAACGUAGACUGAAGUUUUGAUACUACAGGACAUAGAACUAAGACUAUGCUUUCAAAUUGAUUUCUUACUUGUAAUAGCCCUUUUAGACUAUAAAAACAUCUUAUUAUCUUUAUACUAAUACUUACUGAGAAUACCACUUCAUUCAUGCAUAUGUGAUACACAGGCCUGAAGGGAACAUACAUUCAACUGCUUUUACAUAUAGCACUAUAGUUUGGUUCCCAGCGCCCAUGUGUUUUUUUAACAACUGCUUGUAACUGUGGUUCUAGGCAGUGCAGUGUCCUUCAUGGGCUCUUGCAUGCACAUGUUGCUCAUAAAUCCACAAAGGCAAACACACGUACACAUAAAUAAGUAAGUCUCUAAAUGUAUACUCUAAAGUGACAUUUAUACUUGACCUCCAUCCUCAACACAUUGACUCAUGCAGCAGGUGACAUGCUGACAACUUGACUACCUGAGUUUGGUACAUGGAACCCACGCAGUGGAACGGGAGAGGCUCUUUCUACAAGCUGUCUUUUGCAUGUAUGCCAUAGCAUGUAUAUACAUAUACAUGAAUGAAUGCUUUGUGAGUUUGUUUGUUUUUGUUUUUUUCUUUUAAUUUUUAAAGAAAAGAAAAGCAGACUACCUCUACACACAACUUGGAUAUAUGUCAAGGGACUGGAUUUAAGCAGAAAGAAUAACUCAGAGAAUGGAGAAAUGGCUCAAACUGUUUAAAGCACUUGUUGCUCUUACACAGGACUGGAAUUCAAUACACACUCACCCACAAGUUGACUUAACCAUCCAUAACUUCAGUUGUAGGGGAUCUAACGCCUUCUGACCUCCACAGACACCAAGCAUCCACAUGAAGUACAUACUUACAUUCAGGCAAAAUAUUCAUACACAUAAAUAUAUCUUU
rnacentral:lncRNA from 1 species